rnacentral:rRNA from 1 species
AGCAGCCGCGGUAAUUCCAGCUCCAAUAGCGUAUAUUAAAGUUGUUGCAGUUAAAAAGCUCGUAGUUGAAUUUCGGGAUCAAUGUUUCGGUCAUGCCGUUGGUAUGUACUGAUAUUAUUGGUUUCUCACCUUCUAAAGAACCGUAAUGCCAUUAAUUUGGUGUCACGGGGAAUUAGGACUGUUACCUUGAAAAAAUUAGAGUGUUUAAAGCAGGCUCACGCUUGAAUACAUUAGCAUGGAAUAAUGAAAUAGGACAUCCGAUUCUAUUUUGUUGGUUUCUAGGAUCGAUGUAAUGAUUAAUAGGGAUAGUUGGGGGCAUUAGUAUUCAAUUGUCAGAGGUGAAAUUCUUGGAUUUAUUGAAGACUAACUACUUGCGAAAGCCAUUUGCCAAGGAUGUUUUCAUUAAUCAAGAACGAAAGUUAGGGGAUCGAAGACGAUCAGAUACCGUCGUAGUCUUAACCAUAAACUAUGCCGACUAGGGAUCGGAUGAUGUUAAUUUUUUAAUGACUCA